UACGUAGGCAGCGAGCGUUGUUCGGAGUUACUGGGCGUAAAGAGUGCGUAGGCGGCGGCCCAAGUCUGGUGUGAAAUCUCCCGGCUCAACCGGGAGGGUGCGCCGGAAACUGGGUUGCUGGAGUGCCGGAGAGGCAGGCGGAAUUCCUGGUGUAGCGGUGAAAUGCGUAGAUAUCAGGAGGAACACCCGUGGUGUAGACGGCCUGCUGGACGGCAACUGACGCUGAGGCACGAAAGCGUGGGGAGCAAACAGG
rnacentral:rRNA from 1 species